CUCCGAGGGCUCUGAACACCCCGCCCUGGGUAACCCCAGCCUGUCCCAGAUCGAUGCUCUCCUGACGGCUUCCUCCGAGCUAGCUUCUGUCAGCCUUGGGAUUAUUUUGAGAGCCAUGCGCCGGGAAAAGGGACAGGGAACAGAGUCAGGAAAGCUACAAGAGACACUUGACACAGAGAAACUGAAGCCCUGGAGAUGUUACCGCAGGUCACCUGUGGCAUUUCAUAUUGACUGCAUUAAUAGCAUCUGCAAUCAUCUUGGGGUCAACUCUCUGGCCAUGAUGAUGUGAUGUGACCAGUGCCUCACACCCCUGCCACGGUGCCAUCUCCAAAACAGGAGCUUAGGUAGGCCUUCCUCCAUUAAGUUGUGUUGGUCAGGUGUUUUGUUUCAUUAAUGAGAGAAGGAAUUGAUCCAUCACCCGUGAGAGAAUAUCCGAAGGGCGUGUUAAAGCUGGUGCCCAACCCUCUGCUGUCACUCGAGAAAACUGCAGCUCCCA